GGGGAUAGCCCAGCCAGGUCCAAGGCGCGCGGCCCGGACCCGCGAGACCAGAGGUUCGAAUCCUCUUCCGUUCCUCA
rnacentral:tRNA from 1 species